UACGAAGGGGGCUAGCGUUGCUCGGAAUCACUGGGCGUAAAGGGUGCGUAGGCGGGUCUUUAAGUCAGGGGUGAAAUCCUGGAGCUCAACUCCAGAACUGCCUUUGAUACUGAGGAUCUUGAGUUCGGGAGAGGUGAGUGGAACUGCGAGUGUAGAGGUGAAAUUCGUAGAUAUUCGCAAGAACACCAGUGGCGAAGGCGGCUCACUGGCCCGAUACUGACGCUGAGGUGCGAAAGUGUGGGGAGCGAACAGG
rnacentral:rRNA from 1 species